rnacentral:lncRNA from 1 species
CACAAAUGCUGUUUACAGCACCGUCUCUCAGAGGAAUUAUUGCGAAGACAAACCACAGACAAAGGACAGAACACCCUUAGAUAACUGUAUGGGCUGUCAUGCUGGGAUAAUGCAGACUUCAACCAGGACCUGACAGCAACCUGCAGGACGUCCCUGAGGUUUCAUGCGAUGCAGUGUCACUGUGACAUCCUCCGCAAACCACCCAGGAAGCAAGGUCGCAGGUGAGAACGGCUGCCACUGCAGGUGAUGAGGAGACUGAUGGGGGACCGGGGAAGGACGUGCCGGCACGACGGAUGGAAUUAGAGUCUCAUUAGCACGGAGACAGGCGCAGGAAGCAGAUGGCUGCACUGCGGCGGCGGUGGGGACGGACAGCUGCCGGAGGAGCACUUCCCAGCUUAUCGUCACGCGGAACUGAGGACGCGGGGGGCGGCUGGACCCAAGUGCAGGAUCGGUCGUCAGGAAUCAAGGGAUCAGGCAAGUUCUAAUUAUUAGGGACGGGUAAAGAGUCAUUAGAUCUUUGGUCAGAGUGAGAGCAAGGAUCCAAGGACGUGGUCAGGGGACGGAACGAAGGGUCGAAAGCCGGGAAACGGAGACAGGAAGCAAGGGACGAGGAAGAACUAGACAUAACGCAGGAGGGACGGUUGUCUCAGUGAGAACCCCAGACCCACCGGAGAGCAGGACCCGGUCCAACCCAAUGCACCACCGCUCCCACCCUGCUUUUUUGUUUAUCUAAACUGUAAUUUUUCAUGUUUUUGAAGUUAGUGUUGAAAUCUGUUUUUCCUCAAUGAUGUUGACAUGCUGUGAAAAAUAAAAAAAUAAGCCCACCCUUUCCUCA